GGGGGUAUAGCUCAGUGAUAGAGCACAUGCUUAGCAUGCAAGAGAUCUGGGUUCAAUCCCCAGCGCCUCCA
rnacentral:tRNA from 1 species